AAAUGGAUAUGAGCGAUGAGUAACCGCCACAAUCUGGAGGGAACAAGAGAAUGCGCUUACAGUGGUAGAAGUGAAAACAUCAGAGGUGAUCCAGCUGUGGGGAAGAGUGCUUUGGCUCAGAUGUUCCGCAGUGAUGGGGCUCAUUUUCAGAAGAACUACACACUGACAACGGGCAUUGAACUGUUGGUGAAGGCUGUAUCAGUUCCAGAGACAAGUGAUAGUGUGGAAUUCUUCAUUUUUGACUCUGCAGGAAAAGAUCUAUUUUCUGAGAUGCUGGAGAAACUGUGGGAGCAACCAAACGUCCUGUGCCUUGUGUAUGAUGUCACUAAUGAGCAAUCUUUCAACAACUGUGCCAAGUGGCUGGAGAAGCUGAGGGCUCAAGCAGUUGGAAUGCACAUCCCAGGUGUCUUAGUGGGGAAUAAAACAGAUCUGGUUGGUCGUCGAGUUGUGGAGCAGAAACAAGCACAGGAGUGGGCUGACAAGCAUGGCCUGGAAUACUGUGAGAUGUCAGUGAAGGAGAUGAGAAAUUUUGAGGCCCCUUUCCACAUCCUGGCAAAGUCAUUCCACCAACUGUACAAAGAGAAAGUGGAAACCUUUCGCUCACUAGCUUGAGGGCCGUGACUGGGAAUGACUUAAUUAGCUUUUGAGCUUCUUCUGGGGCCCAGAAUCCUGCGGACUGGGAUGCAGAGAGAAGAAAAAAGAUGAUUGCUCCCUCAUGGUUAUCUUCUGGCUCGCUUUCUCUGCCUGGCAGGAGCUGUCUGUCUUGCAUCUGUACCACUGUCACUUGGUAAUGCAGUGCCCUCUGCUGGCCCCAGGUCACAAGAUUUCUGAAGAAGCUACCUCUGAUGAAGCAAGCAGAACCUUCUACUGUCACAUCCAAAUUGGCGUAUCUGCAGAAUGGGGUCAUAUAGUAAGAAUACCUCUUUUAUUCCAGGGACAAAUCUAAGACUUAAAUUAUCUUUCUUUCUUCAUGCAUUUGUUAUUUUAUGUGGUUUUGUGUCAUUUUUCAUCUUGUCAGCUGAGCUUUUCAAUUCCAUGUUCUCAUUAGAUUUAGUUUUCAAUCUCUUACUAGAAUCAGACUCAUCCUUAUUGUUAAACUUUCCCUGCCUAUCCUUGAAUUUCAGAGCAAAGACCAUGAUUCUGAUAUCACUAGUGGAAGCAAGAUUUGGUAAAUGAAAAACAACCUAGCUAAGUUACUUUGAUUCAGCCAUGUCUGGCUGGAAGUUUUGUAUCAGAAAGGACAAAAGCCUAGAGAGAACACUCUUUUGUGUGGUGCAUUGAUGUCACCUCUGUAAGAAUAUCUGCUAAUGCAGUACGUGAAAGCAUUCAUGGUUAGGCACUGCUUUGCAGCUGGGCCUAACACUGAGGAGCUCAAAACCGUAACCUUUCUCUACUCCUAAAAUUACAUUAGCCUCCCUUGGGCAAGGGAGGCUGAUUUUCAUGGAGAAUAAACACUGAGGGAUUUUUCAGGCAGGCUUUUCAGGAAUCUGUGUUUCAAGACUUUUAUAUAUUUUAUAACCAUUUUUAUGCCCAGUGCUAGGAAUAUGACUGUAGAUGUUGUAGCAGACUUUAUGAAACACCUCAAGAAUCUGGAAUAGCAGCUGGGCUCAUUUCAUUGGCAACAGCGUGUUGAUGCUGGGAAUUAGCUAGGGAGCAUGAAUACCAGCUAAAGGGGUUAAGCAGGAGCUGAGCCCUCUAGGAAAGAAAAUGAAUAAUUUUUUUUCUGUUUGCUUGUUUUUUUCCCCCUCAAGAAGCCACUUGGGAAAAUAUGAUAGUACUAGUUAGGAAAGCUUUUACUUCCUCCAAAUAAGGAGGACUCCUCCAUGGAUUUAGGGUCACUAGAAGAUUCACCCUUUUUGACUUGUCUUGGCAUCCUUCUUGUACAUGGGUUGCCUUGUGAAUUCUGGGGGCUGUCUCUUUAUUUACAUGGGCUGAGUAGGGGUUUGCCUGCAGAUGUUAGUGCCUCUGCCUAUUAAGAAUAAAAGCUAUUUUGAAUGCUGUGCUGAUCUAGUUAAAGAACCAAAGAAGGUUUGUUUUGAUUUGGUAGCUCAUUUGCCCCUAGUUCUACUGAUGAUGUGAUUACAACACAAGACGGAUAUUUUUUCAGACCGAAAAUAUCGUGCCAGGUGUGUCUGCCACCUGUGACGUGGUGUAGGGGGGAAUGAAUGCCUUGGGAAUAGGUGAUGAAAUGAAUCCCAUAUAAUCUUUAACUAGGGAGUUCAAUCUCUCUGCCCCAGAAAGACUUCCCAUAGCUUCAAAUAAACAGUCAAAAUGCACCAGUAAGUUGAAGAUCGGUGAACAUUGUUUUAUUAAAUGAACACAGAAGCUGGAGGAUCUCAUUAAGGGAGUGCUUGCAGAGGUGAUUUGUGAUUUAUAGGGAACCUGCUUUUGAUAGGUUAGUGAAGAAAAAUGCAUCCCAUGCAGGGAAAGAUAUAUUGCCUGAGAGAGGAAACAUAUAAUCUAAUUAGCUAUCAGUAGGGAUUCACCCACUGCCCCUUUCUUUCCUUCCACCGGCCAGGACUAGAAUUAGAAAAAAGGUUGUCCCUAAAGCAUGUAGCCCAACUUGAUUUUACGGCACUGUUUCAAGGACUAACGUAGACACGAUUUAAUGUCUGUCAAAAUGGUGUGUUUGGUCGUCACCGUCUCAGUCAUUCCAAAUGCAUUUUAAAAGCGUAAUAUAUUGUUCCUUCGUGGCUAAUGUGCUGUACGAUACCAGCAUGAUGCAGGCGAUGCUAUUUUCCUAAUUUGACCUUGAUUGUAGAGACUAGUAGUGAAGGGUGAGUGGAGUCCAUGGGAGCCAGAUACAGACAGGCUGUGAAAAAGAGUUUUGUGUCUGUGUGAAGGAGUUCGAGUAGUGAGUAGGUGAGCAGGACGAGUAAGAGUCUGAAGCCAUUAGUAAUUUCUCUUACUGUGGCCAGCAGCUGUUGUGGUCAUAUCUGUAGAGCGAGGAUGCUUUUUGCUGCUUAUAGCCUUUGCAAUUCCCUGAAUUACAGACACCGUGGAGGACGGUGGGAGGAAGGCAGAAAGCAUGUCUGCUGACCAGGAAGCUUGUUGUCUUCUUACAGCUCCCCUACUUUGUCCAGCUGUGCAUGCUGAGCACCUGCAGCAGUGAAUGUUUACAACCUAGAAGAGCCUCAGCUCAACCAGAACUGAAAUUUCAAAAGAAGGGAGAGAAAACAAGCAGCAUUUUUAACUGUCUGUAAGAGAUUAAUAUAUAGUCCUUUUAUAGAAGCUUGUUUGAUUAAAAAAAAAAAAAAUCUUUCCUCCUCAGAGCCCCUCCUUCUUACCUUUUCUUUGGUCCUCAUUUCUCAUGCUUCUGCUCUAUAGAAUCCCUGUUACACUUGUGCCCUGCUUUACAUGGCUUGAAACAUUACCAGCUGAUUUUUAAAACCUUCUCAUUUCCCCAUUGACUAUUCCCAAGGCUACCUUUCAUCUUAGAGAGAUUAAUAGAUAAAAAUUUUUAAAAAGUGGAAUUUUUAGUCAAAUUGUCAUGGAAGACUGAACUUCAGGAAGCUGACUGACAUUCUGAAAUUUUACUGGAAAUCUGUUUUUGUAAAGUUGUCAUGUUAAAGAUGCUUCAAUGGUUUGGUUUGGUUUGGUUUUGCCAGACAUAUUCUACCAUGAAGCGAAAUGCAGGAUGUAGAACUGCAGAAAGAUCAGGUCGUAUUGUGGGAUUUAAUAGGAGUUUCAAAGCUGAUCACACUGUGAUAAGAGCUGUUCAGUCUUAACAAUGGAGUGGUCACUGCUGUUCAUAAUAAAGCAUUAAAUAUACUGAAAUGGGGCUGUGAAAAAGUUCCUUGUAGAGAUUUAUUCAUUUUAGAGACUUAAAACUUUAGAAAAGACAUCUUUCAGAAAACCGAUCUGAUAAAUUACACCAUUUGGUCCAGGGUUAUUUCUGAUAUAACUUUGGCGACUUGAAGGGCUGGAUUUAGUCUUUUAUUCCAGUUGACUCCCUUGGGUAAGCUUCAUUUCUUUACCUUCUAUAUACAUCUUGGGCCAAUCUGAACUGAUAGCAAAAGACACAUGAUGCUGUUGAAAAUGAAAUACUGCCUUGGGGCAGAAGGAUAAACCGUGUGGCCUCCUGAGGUCCUCCAAGCAAUACUUUAUAUAAUUCUAUUAGAUUAAGUGGGGAAAGAAGUAGUGUGGAAAGCACAAAACAGGCUAAGUCAUAAACUAGCAAUUAAACUGGGAGCUGGGCCGGGCUACAGCAGAAAACGUACAAUCUAUCCCAAUUAAGAGCUGUAUCUCAAGAGAAAGCAGGAGCCUGACGCAGGUGCUGACAGCAGGGAAAACACUGUAUUUCUGUUCUGCAGGCAGCAAAUGCUUUCUGCUGGUGCUUACACAGACCCGUGGGGGUCCAUACCCUGCUCAAGACUAUGCUGUGCUUUUAAUAAUUACUGUAUCUGUGAUGUUCAGGUGGCAACUGCUUGCAGUUGUUGUCUCAUCUGCCUGUAUAAAGCCAGCAGUGGGAUGGCAGAUCCCUGCUAGUAGCAGGAAGACAUUCCUAUUCUGGAUACCAUCCGUUAUGGGACCCCUCUCUCUCCAUGGGGUCUCGGUCUUUCUUUUCCAAUCUCAUAUCCACUUCUUGAUGGGGAAUAGCCACCUCUGUUUGUUCUUAGCAAGUGAUCUUUUCAUCUUGCAGAUGGUACUCCGUGGUCCUGCGGCUAAGAGAUUUCUAGGACCUUCUGCAGCAGAGGUGGAUUCUGAGCAGGAGCUAUUCAAGGGCCAUGUUGGCCCCCCCACGUCCCUCUUAGCCUCAGGGCACAUCAUCUCACUGCUUCUCGCAUCCCAUUUCCUCCUCCUGCUGUCAUCUUGCCUUGAGAACAAUGUCUUCUGUGCCAGUUGCCCUUGGCUCUGUUGACCCGGAACAGCAAUGCUUGGGGGAGGGAGAAAGCAGAGAGCCCCUCAAUCUCUGCUCCUUUCGGUGCACUUAGGUGUUGUGACUCCCUGUCCAAGUCCCCUGAGAGAAGGGGACGUUGCUCAGUCCAGAGUGUAAUUUCCUGGCAGAAGACCCCCAGCAGAGUCCUGGCAGCCUCCUCUUGGCUCUUCAGAGCUUGCCGCAGUGUAACUUUCACAGACACUGGCUGUUCUCAUUUUGACUUGGAGUUGUGGAUUAUUUUUUCUUAUUAUUAUAUUUUUUACUCCUUGGGGGUCUUUCUCUCAUUUUUCUGCCACAGCUUCACGUAUUUCCUCCCCUAGAGCUGUUUGUCAAGAAAAGCCUGGAAUUGCUCUCUUUCCUGGUCUCUGAGAUCAAAUCCAAAUUUGGCAAUGUUUAAAAGGGAAAUGUGACAGACCCUACAUGCCAAGCUGGGGUCAGGGAUGGGGUCAGUUUGAUGAGCUUCCCUCCAGCCAGAUAUGUUUCAGCUGGAGAAAUGAGCCUGUAAUCUUUCUGCACAAGUACUGGAAAAAUAAACAACGUGAGGACUUAAAGUUAGGGACUGUUAGAGCAGGUACACAGGCAGAACUGAGCAGCUGCUGCGUCUUGAGCAGUGGAAAUGCAGGAGCAGUCGGAGAACAGGCGAGUGUAAGAAAGAGUGGGGUGUGUAUUCCUUCACGAAAAGCCCAAGGGAUUUGCCGAGGCAGAGUGGGAGGGUGGGAAAUCUGAGUGGAAAGGCCUAAGGGUUUUCCUCGCUUGUAGAAUUAUGUAUGGAAAUCAAGUGGGAGGAAAAGUAAUUUUUGCUUGAGCCAUUGAGGGAAAGUGAGGAUACAUGCGAGUGCUGCAGGUUGGAGAGCAGGUGGCAAGAAUAAAUAACUGAACAUCGACUGGCAGGGCCCAGAUCUCUGGGCCAAGGUUGGUUUGGGGAAUUCAGCGCUGUGACGAGUAAGGUCAACGGUUGCCAUAAGUUUAGGUUCAAGUUGUAGGGCCUGCGUUAGAACAAGGCAGGGUGAAUUAGAGUCUGCGUGACAGGGUCAGUGCUGGGGUUAUGAUAGGGCAAUAGUGAGAACCCAUAAUGACAAGUAAUGUGGGGAGAUAAUUAUAGUACACUGCGCUGCUCUGAGGAGCAGUGGCUGAAGUCAGCACAUUCAGGUGAGACCAGAAAAAGCAGGUAGGCUACAGAAACGGUGGAAGAGUGUGAAGUGAUGCUGGAAAUUCAGCUUGAGUUCAAUUCUUCUGAGGGGAGGGUAAUAGACACCUACGAUUAUUACCUGCAGAGCUUUGUAUUAUUACAACACAAAUUAAUUCUGUUGUUUCUGUUGCUAGAAACUGGGUGAUACGUUUGCUUAAACAUUUUUCUUUUUUUAGGGGGUGGGGGGACAACCAACCCAUAAUAUUUCUGCAUAAUUGUGCUGCAGCCUCCUGAAUACAUUAUACACAUCCAUUCAGAAAAUGAAAAGAGAACCUGCACUUCACCUGGCCAAGCAGAUGUGACGGCUGCAACUUGAGCAUUGACAUUUUACAACAAAAGCUUCAUGACCAGUUUGCACUGCAGAAGACCUCCCCAAAACACCAAUACGUAACCUAAAAAAGAAAUAGAAAAAUGCAAUGUGUAUGUGGUCAAUAUAAAGCAGGUAGAAAUCACCUUGUUCACGAAUAAAACUAACUACAAUUAAAAAUGCCCUCAGCUCUGCAUGGGAGGAAUCUCUUUUCUGUGUUGGUUUCCUUUCUUUGCUUUUGCUAAUCUCUUGAUUCUUGCAAAGCAUCACGUACUCUAACAGUUGUGCGUGACCACUGCGUGCUAUUUCUGGGCCUUUGUUUUUGUGAUGUUGGAUGGCUUCAGUGUGAGGACUGUGAGCCAGGACGUGUUGGGAUUCAGGUUGCAGUUGAAGCAUCAGGCAUGAAAUCAGUUUGUGAGGGCAGCAGAACAGAGGCUGGGAAAGAGUCCCACAGUUAAGAUCAUGCUUUUUUUGCAGUGCUGUUGUCAGCAGAGGUAUCAGGCUGCAAGGAAUGGGAAAGUGUUAGGGAGAGGACAGGGGGAUGUUUUGGGUACGGACACAAGCAGAUUAAUGCAGCUCUUUCUGGACUCUGAACCCACCGAGACCUGGGCAUGUUUUUUUUUAAGUGGACUGAGUCGUUGCUGUUGAUGCCCACCCAACUAAGGCUGACUGCCAGGGAUGGCUUUAGGCAGACGUGAUCACUGAAUGCCACCUGGGUCCACAACCUUUCUGAUACCCAAUUCCUCUGCGCUCUCCAUGCCUCUUGCUGGGGUUAUAAACCAACACCAGGAAAAAAACACUUGGCCUUUCUGUACACUGCCACCCUCCCCGACUCCUCUGCUCCCCAUCUGUGUGAGGCUUGAGCCUGUGCCCUGCUGGGCUGGCACAAAACUGGACCGGUACGGGAGCGAGAGAGCUGUGCCCACAUCGGAUGCGCGUCUCCGUGCGGGUGAGGGGCAUCCGAGGCAGGCACCCUUUCCUCCUUUUAUCAGACUGCUCUCAUUUAUUAUACCAUCUGUUUUCCCAGCGCCGGAGAUGAUGCUGGGGAUAUGUGACUUGGGGCACUCAGGCAGAAACUGGCCUGCACAAGGCCGGCCAUGUGUUUGCCUCCUAGCAAUGCAGCGGUCAGCAGCAAAUUCUUUGCCGCCGCCUCCUCUCAGUAUGGGAGAGAGCGAGCGUGGGCCUGGGUGUGUAGGAGACACAAAGAGAUGAAAAAUGUGAAGGGGGGGAGGCAGGCGAGGGGAGAUGCGCCGGGGUCCACGGGUGUCAGCUCGAGAGGAACCGGGGGAAAGCGGGACAGACGGACAGAUGGGAUGAAGAAUGGGUUGGUGGGAGGGAAAGGACAGGCGGAAGAAUUGGGGUGAGGGGAGACCGCGAGAGCAAGGCUGAGCAGGAAGGACAAGCAGGAGGAUUCGGUCGGUGUGUGGCGGGGAGAGAGAUGGAUUGUCUGUGGGAGAGAGAUGUGUGUCAGCCAGGCGCUACGGUAAUAGGUAACGGGAUAACUACAGAGAUGGAGAUAAAGCGAUUGCGUGCGUGCCUGUUUGUAUAUGCCUGUGCAAAGGGGGAGCUGAGUGAAUGACAGGGAGGGAGAACAGCCAUAGGGAGCGAGGAGAGAGAUAAAGCAGAGCUAUAAGAAGGAGCAAAAGAGCAAAGCUAGAGAUGAACCGUGGGGAAAAAAAAAAAGAAAAAAAAAAGAGAUGUGGGAAGGCGAGGCAGCCUCGCAGUGCAAACAAGAGCUGGGAUUUAGCAGGGGGACAGGAGGGGGCUCAUAGGAAAAGGGAGGCUAACACAACUACACUUGUGUACUUGGGGCUGAGGUUCUACUGGGGCCGGAGAGAGGAUGCAGGGCAGAGAUCAGAGCACUAAAUCUCCGGUACUAAAAGGAAGCAUUUCCACGCACGCACGGCUCGCUGCUGGUGCAGGGACCCAGUGGACCAGGGAAUGUAAAUGCCAGCGUGCAGGCGCAGGUUGUUUCCUGCCUGCUGAACUGCAGAGUACCUGAGCAUCUGCAACCUGUGGGCUGCCUCUUGCCAGCGUGCCUGCUUGGCUGCUGGGAGCUGUUUAAGAUGGCAGGUCAAGCAUUUAUUUAUCAUUUUCUUCUCCUCCCUCUUGCCCUUUAUCCUUGCAGUGCGCUCUCAAUGGGAAAGGAGACAUGAAAAACACAGUGCCCAAAUUCACAGGCACUUUUGUAAUUCUUCCACCUCAUGUCAUACUCGCCACCUUGCUUUGCUGCCUGACCCUACCACCACCUUGACCAUUUCUUUUCUUUUCUGUCCUUUGCCAUGUCUGUUUUCAUCUCCUUCCUUACGCCUUCCUUCAACUUUCCAUCAUUUUAAAUUUUCACUCUUCCCUGUAACUCCAUUCCCCCUUCUCUGUUGUGCUCCAGACUUCUAGGUUAUACGCCUCCCCUUGUUGGUUCAGCUUAUUCCUCCUGGUUGCCCUGUUUCUUUUCUUUUGCUCCUUUUAAUCUCUCCCUGGUUCCUCCAUCUCCUUCUGUCUGCCUGCUUCCUCUCAUUCACUGUCUGUCUCUUUUGAACUGGGUUGUGAAUUCUGUUGGCAUCAGAGUGGGACAAACUGUAAAACCGAGGUUCCCGGAGGGCCAGGUUGUGAUCAUUUUAUUUUUACAAUGUCCUUGGAUGUAUAAAGGUGUUUGUUUGAGGGGGAGGAGCAGUGCGUGUGCUCCAUGUGGGAGAAGAGAGGGGAGCGCGGGCCAGAACGAAUGAAGCUUAAAACUAAUAUAGGUCAGUUGCAGAGAAGAGUCCCAGUGGUCUGUGAAGCAGAGAAGCAGUUUGUCGCGUCAGACCGGCUACUGGAAAGAUGGCAGCUGAACAGUUUCACCCAAAUGAUGCCAGCAACCUGGAGAAGUGUCCUGUCAAAGAGUGCAGGGGAGGAGAGCCAAGCCCUGCACAGCUCGCCUCCGGCCACCUCCCUCACCCAGGGAAUAACCAGCCUCAGUUUCCUUCUUCCUGCCUCCGAGCUGUCUCCUCCUGUGCGUGUUCCUCUGUCCUCACGUGGAGGGGGGAACAAGGCUGAGGUACACCUCCCGGUGCCCCCUGCCAAACCCAGGGGGCCCAGGUGGACAACAACAGACCCUUGGGGGAUGUCCUGAGGUGUGUGGCCAGCCUCUGCUGGGGUCAGUGCUGUGGAGGAGCCCCACACAGCCAGCAGGGAGAUGUCACCAAGGCUCUGGGCCUGGCCUGGUUGAGCUGGAAGAGCCGAGGGCUCUCCCUGGCGCUGCUGGGAGUUGAUUUUUCUCUGCAUAAGAGCCCUCACUUGCCAUGAUUUGCCACAGUAUGUGUAAACUCUGCACAUACCGUUCCCAGAGAUCUUCACAAGUGGUUAGCAGUUGCAGUGAAUGACUGAAAGUGGCAAGUCCUGAUGAGCCCAGCAUUUGGCCUCGGAACUUCUGAUUUCAUUGCUAUUAAGAGUUUUGUUGCUAUAGGAGGUUAAUCUGCUAAAAUGACAUCUUGAUAUCAAAACAGACAUCCAGAGUUUCCGAGGUACUUGGAGCCUAUACAGCUCUGUAAAAUCAACAUGAGAUGCUGACUGCUCAGCACAACUGAAAAUCAGGACAGUUCUUCAAUGUCUAAACACGGCGUUAGGAGCCUAAAUAGACAUACGUGUUUUGUUUUCUUUUGAAAAUAGGCCUCUGCUCCCAAAGCAGGGAAUGUCACCCAUCUUCAGCUUCUGUCCGUGGCGUGCUCUUCUGCGCAUACCAGAAUGCUCCAGUCUAGCAUCUGACUGGCUUAAUCCAAUGUGUUCAGCCUCCUUCCCCUGUAGGAGUUCACACUGCAGCCCCUAAAGCAUUGUGAUGGUAAUAGAGAACCAAAUCUGAGGAAUUCGUACAAUGGCUCUGUGGUCACAAUGCACCAGCUGGCUUUCACUGAAACGGUGUCUAAAGAACACGCACAUCUCAGAAGAUUCCUCCCUGACUUUGUGAGACUACAAAAAGAAAUCCUCCUCACAUUAAAAUCUGUAGCCUGUUAUCACUGGUAUCAGUGGGACCCCGUGAUUUUGAGCUUUCUAAGAUUCCCCGCUCACUGAGCUCCUGAUUAGGUGUUGGGAUACAUGCUUCUCUUGAUUUGAAAAAUCAGAGCGACAACAUAAACUAUCCCAGAGCUUAACCACUUAUUUUAUUUUCCUUAGGAUGUUCCUUCUAGAGUCUCUCUUAACCCUGAUUUAUUACUGAGCACCAGAGAAAUUAAAAGCUCGAUAUUCCAUCCCUGACACCCUAAGCUAUUUGACAGAUCAAGAGCCAGGGGGGUCCUAAAGAAGACAGAUGGGUGUAUAGCUGGUUUGCAGAAGGGUUACCUGCAGCAGUACCACCAGACCUAGGAGAGCAAGUCUGCCCCGUCCAGCAAGCCUCAGCAAUGCCUCUGUGGCAGCUGAGCACCAGAUGACAAAAGCUGGUGUUUAGGCUGAAUUGUGGCUUUAAAUGGUAAUACCAAAUAGAUGAGGUUGCACAGGAUCCUCUUCUCUGUCUUCAUCUGCGCCCUUUACACUGGAAGAAAGGCUGAUAUCAGGGAAUAUUGAUCAGGGUCAACAUGGAGCGUCUUCACUGUAGGCCUCGCUUUCCUCCAGCAUUUAUCACUGUACUAAUGUUUCCAGGAAGCUUCUGAAAAUCUUCAGUUCAGAAAAAAGAAACCAACAACUUCUCUUUCUUGCCUUAUUCUUUAAAAUUCUCUUCUCUGUUUAUUGCUAUGUUUACCUGAAAAUAGGCUUUUUUUCUUCUUUAAGAGUCCUACCGCAGCUGCUGCACAUUUCCUCUCUGGCAUUUCAUGUACCUGUUUGUUAAGAAAUGAUGGCUUUUUUAACCCAUGCAUUCUGACCAGGAGACAAGAGGCAGGUCUGGGGUGAGUUCUAGUCCUGGUUAAUGAAUGAAUAGACAAGGGACCUAUUUCAAACAAGACUGAGUUCCUUGUGCCCAUAUUUCAUGCAGUUCCAGUGAGACGCAUUGCUCUGUGAUCUAUUCCGGAGACCUUUUACCUAUGUCUUGACUUAAGAGCAAAUUCUGAUCACAAAACCUGUGCCAUACUCUUUUCACCAACUUCUUGUGAACAAUGUGUGAUUCAGUUUGGGUUCUUGCCUCCUCUCCUUUGUUUUCUUUAGCUCUGAUUUUCAGGUAUUUGCUUAUCCAGGUGUCAAGGCCCUGGUACCUCUUGGCCCUGUUUCCUGGAAUACGCUUCCAGGGCUGGAGGUAUAUGGAUGGCUGUGAGAACAAUCUGUGCCUGAUUUGAUUUUGCAUAUGGAUGGAGAGGAGAAAAUAAAAAAGAAAAAAAAGAAAAAAAAGAAGGAAAAAAAACGCACAAAGGUUUACAUAAAGUGUCUGAGGAUACAACAAAGGAGUAGGAAUGAAAUGUAAAUAAAUGGGUCUUAAACAGGAAUGUUCUCACAACUGAUUUUCUCUGCUAGCCUUAUUCACUAAGUUUACAUGUCAACGUGUAUAUAUAUAUCUCCUCAUAUCUCAUCACUGAGGAUCCUUUACCAAAUACUGUAAUUCCAGCUAGAGUGACUGGUUAGCAGCCUGCCCUCUGUUACAGUUAAUGGGUUGCAGGCAUUGAUUUUCUUUUCUAUUCCUAUUGAUUAGGAGGCUGCUGUACACACAAACCUCAGCACAGCAUGGAAAGAGGAAGAGAGGCAAAACAGUUCUCAUCCCAGCAAUUCAUCAUGGCUGAACAUUCAUCCUGGAAAUCCCAAUCUUCUCCCACUAUCUCUUUCAAGUAAAGAAAGAAGCCUUUCCCUUUUUGAAGAAUUCAACCCACAAGGCACAUGAAAUGACACUGUUUUUUCCAACCAUCUUCAAGGAGCAAACAUUUCAAAGGUUGCCAUUCAAUGCAAGAAAAGGUUGUGUGAGACAAAGGAGCCUUGCGCUGAAGGCACAGGAGUUUUAACUUCGAGACUCAAUCUGCAACAGAUUCCUUGAACAACCAUUGGUACCCAAUUCAUUUAUGAGAGUACCCAGAUCUCACUAAAAUCAGUGGAUAGACUUUGGUGGGCUUUGGGAUUUUGUUUCAGUGCCUCCACAAACUGAUGAAAAUGUUGCAUUAUGAGAGUGUAUAAGAAUAAUUUUUUAUUUUUUUAUUUUUUUUGCAAAAGAUUUAGUUUAGAAGAGUAUAUAGGUCAGAAACUGAAGGACUUCUGUAUUGUAGCCUUAUACCCUCAUACUUAUUCGCUGUUAGAGUUCCACUCAUAUCUAAUGCAGGAGCUUUUCAUGCGCUCUCACAGUGGCACCAGCACUGCUUUUGCACAGAGUCCUCCUCAACUUAAUCAUUAGAUCUCUGUACCAUGUAUCUCCCUUCUUUCUUCCUUUCUGGUCACAAUAUUAGGCUAGAUAUGAAUUUCCUAUAGUAUUUGAAUAUUUGAUAUUUACAUUGUCUUUUAUGUUGAUUCUCAUGUUAAAAGACCGCAAGAUAAGGAGAGAUGACCACUGAGGUGUUUUUGUUUUUUUUCCAUCUGGAUUUCUGUCUCUAUUAUCUCUACCUUCUCCACCAGUGAUUUUCUGGGGAAAAAAAAAAAAUCUACAUUUUCUGUCUUAGGUUUACUAGUUUUCUGAUUUGGUCUAAGAAAACCACCAGCAUGCAGAUAUGAUGUGAAUAAUGUUUCUCAUGAACUUUUGGUCCCUCAGCUUUGGACGCCAGUUAUGACUGCUCGGAUCACCCCCCCUGCUUGCUUAACUCUACAGAUAUAUGGCCUCCAGUGAAAUUCCUUUAACAUUAAUUCUUUUUCUGGAUCAUAUCUCACUUCCAUCUUUUCUGCUCCAUUGGCUUUCAGUUCUAUAAUCAUCACCCUAACCCCAAUUUAUUUUUCCUAACAUCUUCUCUGCUGGUGUAUCUGUCUAUUAACACCUCUGCUCUGCCUGCAGAACAGCUGCAUCAACUCCAUCUCUUUUACAUCUCAUUACAGCAGCUCCUUCUGCGAUGGCCUGCCCAGUAUGAAGAUUCCUAGAUACCAGAUCACUGUCUGAUUUUUCUCCUACGAGCUGAAAAGCUCCACUGCAGCACUUAAUGCACAAAUACUCUAUUCAGUUCCAUUACCAUCCCAUGGAGCUGCUUCCGACUUGAUGCCCUUCAUCUCCCUUCCUGCAUCUUUCUCGUGCCCCUUUCUUUCCUACAGCACUGCCCCUUCUCUCCACAAAUAGCAGCACUCUUGGUUUGCCAUUGGAAGCAGACUUCCUGCGGCUCCCUGUCUCAUCAGCUUCUCAUUUCAAGUAAUUUAAAAUGUAAUUUAAAAUCUCUCUAUUUCCUCCAGACUAUUAAUUUCUCUCUCCUUACUCUUCUAUAGAUGUCAUUCUGUUUUGCACUAUUCGGUAAGAUGCGACUGUUGUAAAAAUCUGCCACAGUGUUUUCAGUCUGUAUUCUCAUUUUGUAUUAUCAUUUUUAAUGAUUCUUUGUAGGAAAGAUGAAAUCUCAGCACAGCAUCUAGCCACAGCACAAGCAGUCGCACAGGACAUUCUGGCAUUUGCAUUGCCUUUGUUCCAUUCUUCUCCUGUGGCAUUUAGAACUGUAGAGGGAUUAUUGUGAGUGGUCUAAGAGCAUAUAAGUAGGAUAUCAGGAAGAGAAUUAUUUCUGGAAUUUGGGAAGUGUAAGGCAGGAACCCCCUUUAGUUCUGAUCUUAAGACAUACUGAACCAUCAUAGGUUCCACUCCUCUUAGCCAGGGAUUAAAGAACUCAAUACUCUGCAGGCCUGGCCUUUUUAUACUGACAGCUUCUCUGGGGAAAACAUGCCCCUGCCCUGUUGCUGCAGCCAUUUGAAGUCAAACUUGUCAAAUCUGUAGAAAUAUGUAAUAAAGGCAACAGUCACAUAUUGGUUUGA